UGUGAGUUCCAGUGUGAGUCGAGGACC
rnacentral:piRNA from 1 species